rnacentral:rRNA from 1 species
UACGGGGGGAGCAAGCGUUGUUCGGAUUUACUGGGCGUAAAGGGCGCGUAGGCGGUCAGCACAAGUCAAUUGUGAAAUCUCCGAGCUUAACUCGGAAAGGUCAACUGAAACUGUGCGACUAGAGUGCGGAAGGGGCAACUGGAAUUCUUGGUGUAGCGGUGAAAUGCGUAGAUAUCGGGAGGAACACCUAUGGCGAAGGCAGCUCGCUGGGACGUUACUGACGCUGAGACGCGAAAGCGUGGGGAGCAAACAGG